GUCCAGACUCCUACGGGAGGCAGCAGUGGGGAAUAUUGCACAAUGGGGGAAACCCUGAUGCAGCGACGCCGCGUGAGCGAUGAAGUAUUUCGGCAUGUAAAGCUCUAUCAGCAGGGAAGAAGAUGACGGUACCUGACUAAGAAGCCCCGGCUAACUACGUGCCAGCAGCCGCGGUAAUACGUAGGGGGCAAGCGUUAUCCGGAUUUACUGGGUGUAAAGGGAGCGUAGACGGCGGCGCAAGCCAGAUGUGAAAGCCCGGGGCCCAACCCCGGGACUGCUCUGGAAACUGCGUCGCUGGAGUACGGGAGGGGCAGGCGGAAUUCCUGGUGUAGCGGUGAAAUGCGUAGAUAUCAGGCGGAACACCGGCGGCGAAGGCGGCCUGCUGGACCGUGACUGACGUUGAGGCUCGAGAGCGUGGGGAGCAAACAGGAUUAGAUACCCCCGUAC
rnacentral:rRNA from 1 species